rnacentral:rRNA from 1 species
CAUGUCUUUUUGAUAAUAAUUUAAAGUUUAAUCUGCUCAAUGAUUUUAAAUAGCCGCAGUAUUUUAACUGUGCAAAGGUAGCAUAAUAAUUAGUUCUUUAAAUGGGGGAUUGUAUGAAUGAUUGGACGAGAAAAUUUCUGUCUUAAGUAAAUUGAUUUUUGAAUUUUAUUUUUAAGUUAAAAAGCUUAAAUAAUUUUAAAAGACGAGAAGACCCUAUAGAGUUUAAUAUUUUAAGUUUUUUUAAUUUUAGAAAUUAAGAAAUUUUUAAUUUAUUUAGUUGGGGUGACUUGAAGAUUAAAAAAAUUCUUUAAAUAGAAAUUAAUGAUAUUUAAAUUUUGAGUUUAUAAGUUAAAAACAAAUUACCUUAGGGAUAACAGCGUAAUAUUUCUUUAGAGCUCUUAUCUGAAGAAAUUUUUGCGACCUCGAUGUUGGAUUAAAAUUUAUUUUUGGAGUAGUAGCUUAAAAAUUAGGUCUGUUCGACCUUUAAAAUUUUACAUGAUCUGAGUUUAGACCGGCGUGAGCCAGGUUGGAUUCUAUCUUUACAAAAAUUUUUUAUUUUAGUACGAAAGGACCAAAUAAAAUUUAUAUUUA